UACGGGGGGGGCAAGCGUUGUUCGGAAUUACUGGGCGUAAAGGGCUCGUAGGCGGCCAACUAAGUCGGAUGUGAAAUCCCCAGGCUUAACCUGGGAACUGCAUCCGAUACUGGAUGGCUUGAAUCCGGGAGAGGGAUGCAGAAUUCCAGGUGUAGCGGUGAAAUGCGUAGAUAUCUGGAGGAACACCGGUGGCGAAGGCGGUUCUCUGGGCAUGUCCCGACGCUGAGGAGCGAAAGUGUGGGGAGCGAACAGG
rnacentral:rRNA from 1 species